AUCGCCGAAUCAACUUCCCGAUGAGGGACUGUGAUUAUCGCCGACAAACGCCGAUAGUUUUUGCGCUCUUUGGCGCGAGUUUUUAAUCUUGCAAGAUGGCUGCCUUAAAUAGAAGGUUAUUCCUCAAAAAGAAAAUGCUAUUGAUUAUUGCCCUUCUGUUAAAAAAAAGAAAACUGCUGAAACGGAAAAGAUAUAAAAAAAGAGGUUUUGGGUGAGGUAAAUUUAUGAAAGAAGAGAAGAAUUAGGACAAUUUCAUAAUUUAGUGAAUGAACUUAAUCUUUUCGAUCGGGAGUACUAUUUCAGGUAAUUUAUUUAUUUAUUUUUAUUAUUUAUCUAAGUACUUCGUCUUAAAAUGACUGGUCUCCAAUUUGUUAGUUAGUAUAAAACUUGCUUCACAGUUUGCUGGAUUAAUACUCGACUAAAUUCUGAACUUUUCUAUCAUAUUUGUUUUAAGAUUCCUUCGAAUGAGUCCUAAUCGUUUUGAGAACUUACUGCAACUUGUGG